CCCCAGCCAAUGGUCUGAAGCCCCAUCAGCCGGGCUGUCCCCGAGUGGCACUGCCGUGGCCUGUGGCCAUGGCGUGGGUUCUGUGCACCGAGGCAGGAAGUGUGCGCGGCCUCUUUCCUCGUGGGCUCGGCCCCCACGCGAGGUGACAAGGUUCCUUGGAGCCUGCCGUGGACAUGGGACCAGGCGAUAGGCCUGCCCCUGAGCGCGCUCAGAGGCUGCGAGCGCACCUUCCCCAUUGCCGGUCCGGGCGCGCGUCAGCGGCCACUGGACCCCUCGUCCCCCGUGCUCGGAAGACACCCUGGUGGCAUUGCUCAUUCAGCAGAAAACGCAUCCUAGGAAACCCCGCAUGUGGGACGCAGGACCCAGCAGCCUUCUCUGGAGACGCCAAAGGAGGGCUCGCAGCCCGGGCCCAAACCAAAGGUCCAGAAAGCAGACAUUCCCGGGCCGAGGCGCAGGGCAGGGGUGCGGCACAGGCCAGAGCAAGCCCUUCUGCUGGCUGUUGCCAUGACCUCCAGGGCCGGGAGGGGCCCAGGGAGGGAGCACCUGGUCCCUUGUCCACCCCGCAGAAGCUGCCCCACGUCACAGUAGGGGGUGUGGUGUUCACCUCUGCUCCAGAGCACCUCAGGGGUGUCCCCGUUGUGGGGUGCAGAGGGGAGGCCAGGCCUGGCAGUGGCUGUUUCCCACUAAGUGGGGAGGGAAGAAAGAUCCAGAAAGUCAUUUCUCUGGGAGUUUUUUUAACACUUGAUGGCACUCAUUCUGCCUUGAGGGAUAGCCGUCCUCGCUCAGGGAGCUCUGUCUCCUCCAGGGAGGGGGGAGGCCCCCUGCUGAUUUGCUGUGGUCCCAGGAAGGGGUGCUGGGCUCCAGGCUCCAGUGUGCCCGGGGCGUCGAGAUGUUCCCGAGUCCCAAGGCCUCCGUGUUUGGAGUGAUCACUCCUAAGAUGCCAAUGGUUCACUCACCGAUCACACGCGCGCACACACCUCCCGUGGCUGCAGUGAGGCCGCCUCCCCAUCCAUCCUGGUCUCACCUCCGCACCUGUGGGGCGGGUGUGGAGAAGCACUUGGAGAGAGUUCUGGAAUGUCGCUGGUGGUACAGGCCUGAGCAGGUUGCAGUGCUGGUCCUCCGUCAGCCCCCCAGUGCGGGACCCCGGAAGGCGCCCUCCUUUUACUCCUGGGACAAGGGUCACGCCCCCCGGGAUCAGCAGAGGCCGUGGCUUCUUCCGGGCGGCACCUCUGCUGCUGGCCAUCCCCUGCGUCCCCAGUAGCUUGUACAUAUGUGGUUCUGUGGCACACCCUGGCCCCUGCACUGUGACCAGCGUCCUGACGUGACAACUCUAGUCCCCUGACGUCCUAAACCCGAGUGUUAGGCUCUAGACUCCUGUACUGUGUGUGUGCACUUAAGAAUCUGUCCAAUUAAGAAAUAAAUGUGGCUCCUUAUGCAACAGCAGACCCACGGCGUCCCCUGUGGCUUUAUUUAUGUGUUAAGUCUGUUCGAUGCAGCCAAAACUGCCCCUGGGGUCGGAUGUCCGGCCGUGUCCAGAGAGCAGCCACUUCCCACCCUGGUGAGGCAGGGAGGGAAGAGAGGCUGGGGGGUGGGUGAGGGACAAGAUGGCGUUCGUCAUGGGCGCGCCCACCCCCUACCCGCAGCGCCUGCCCCACCUGCCUGCAAAGCUCACGGUCCUUGGGCUGUUCUGUAGGGUCGGCGUCCCCCCAAUACCGAAACCGGACAGUAUUACGAGAUGUCGGAACUACAGACCAGUGUUUCUGCAACACAGAAAACCAGUACGUUCGGUAACGCGUUGACAAACCAAACGCACUACCGAAAAGGAUCCUGCCUGGUGAUCAGGCGCCGUGCAUCUUGGGAACGCAGGGUCGGUUCAAAACCCGAUCAGCGCGAUUCACCAGAUUAAACCAGCAAAAGAAAAAUCACUCCGGACGCACAAAAAGCAUUUGACCAAAUUUAGCGUCCGUUGCUAACUGCGCCUUUACACGGAUGGUAACGUCCUCCACCCGACCAGGCACUUCAGCCCACAGCCGACGCCAUGCUUGCGGGCAGAGUGAGCGGGGGCCAGGCAGGGUCUGAGCUCCCCCAGCACCCCGACGGGAGGCCGCCAGACCCAGCCGUGCGACCACCCGCUGCGGUCACGGCCCGUCGUCCUCGAGAACGCAGGGUGAGGGGGGACUGAGCCCCUCCGGCCCCCGGCUGCACCCCUGCCCACGGCAUGCGGUGCGCUGGCCUGCCUCGCUGGGGUUCGGUUUUAGCUCAACGGUAAAAUUACGGGCACCUGCGUGGCUCAGGCGGUUAAGCAUCUCCGCUCAGGUUAUGAUUCACAGCUCGUGAGCUGACAGCCCUUCUUCUCUCUCAAAAACAAAU
ensembl:lncRNA